rnacentral:piRNA from 1 species
UGCCAAUCAAAGACUCCCAGGAAACCUUCC